rnacentral:rRNA from 1 species
GAUGAACGCUGGCGGCGUGCUUAACACAUGCAAGUCGAACGGUGAAGCAGGAGCUUGCUCUUGUGGAUCAGUGGCGAACGGGUGAGUAACACGUGAGCAACCUGCCCCUGACUCUGGGAUAAGCGCUGGAAACGGCGUCUAAUACUGGAUAUGUGAUGUGACCGCAUGGUCUGCAUCUGGAAAGAACUUCGGUUGGGGAGGGGCUCGCGGCCUAUCAGCUUGUUGGUGAGGUAAUGGCUCACCAAGGCGUCGACGGGUAGCCGGCCUGAGAGGGUGACCGGCCACACUGGGACUGAGACACGGCCCAGACUCCUACGGGAGGCAGCAGUGGGGAAUAUUGCACAAUGGGCGGAAGCCUGAUGCAGCAACGCCGCGUGAGGGAUGACGGCCUUCGGGUUGUAAACCUAUUUUAGCAGGGAAGAAGCGAAAGUGACGGUACCUGCAGAAAAAGCACCGGCUAACUACGUGCCAGCCGCCGCCGUAA